rnacentral:rRNA from 1 species
UACGUAGGGUGCAAGCGUUGUCCGGAAUUAUUGGGCGUAAAGAGCUCGUAGGCGGCUUGUCGCGUCGGCUGUGAAAACCUGGGGCUCAACCCCGAGCCUGCAGUCGAUACGGGCAGACUAGAGUGCGGUAGGGGAGACUGGAAUUCCUGGUGUAGCGGUGAAAUGCGCAGAUAUCAGGAGGAACACCGGUGGCGAAGGCGGGUCUCUGGGCCGUAACUGACGCUGAGGAGCGAAAGCGUGGGGAGCAAACAGG